rnacentral:rRNA from 1 species
GAUGAACGCUGACAGAAUGCUUAACACAUGCAAGUCAACUUGAACUUCGGUUUGGGUGGCGGACGGGUGAGUCACGCGUAAAGAACUUGCCUCACAGCUAGGGACAACAUUUGGAAACGAAUGCUAAUACCUGAUAUUAUGAUUUUAGGGCAUCCUAGAAUUAUGACAGCUAUAUGCGCUGUGAGAGAGCUUUGCGUCCCAUUAGCUAGUUGGAGAGGUAACGGCUCACCAAGGCGAUGAUGGGUAGCCGGCCUGAGAGGGUGAACGGCCACAAGGGGACUGAGACACGGCCAGUACUCCUACGGGAGGCAGCAGUGGGGAAUAUUGGACAAUGGACCAAGAGUCUGAUCCAGCAAUUCUGUGUGCACGAUGAAGUUUUUCGGAAUGUAAAGUGCUUUCAGUUGGGAAGAAAAAAAUGACGGUACCAACAGAAGAAGUGACGGCUAAAUACGUG